rnacentral:antisense_RNA from 1 species
AUUUACAUCCAUUUCAAUUUGUACAUUUGUGGGUGCGUU